GAUGAACGCUGGCGGCGUGCCUAACACAUGCAAGUCGAGCGCGAGUUUGAGGAUUGAAGCUUCGGCAGAGAGAACCAAACAAAAGCGGCGGACGGGUGAGUAACGCGUGGGCAACCUGCCCCAUACAGAGGGAUAGCCACUGGAAACGGUGAUUAAUACCUCAUAAGACCACAGUAUCGCAUGGUACGGAGGUCAAAGAUUUAUCGGUAUGGGAUGGGCCCGCGUCUGAUUAGCUAGUUGGUAAGGUAAAGGCUUACCAAGGCGACGAUCAGUAGCCGACCUGAGAGGGCGGACGGCCACACUGGAACUGAGACACGGUCCAGACUCCUACGGGAGGCAGCAGUGGGGAAUAUUGCACAAUGGGCGCAAGCCUGAUGCAGCAACGCCGCGUGAGUGAAGAAGGCCUUCGGGUCGUAAAGCUCUGUCCUAUGGGAAGAAAAAAAUGACGGUACCAUAGGAGGAAGCCCCGGCUAACUACGUGCCAGCAGCCGCGGUAA
rnacentral:rRNA from 1 species